rnacentral:rRNA from 1 species
AACGAACGCUGGCGGCAUGCCUAACACAUGCAAGUCGAACGAGACCUUCGGGUCUAGUGGCGCACGGGCGCGUAACGAGUGGGAACCUGCCCUUAGGUUCGGAAUAACUCCCCGAAAGGGGUGCUAAUACCGGAUAAUGUCUUCGGACCAAAGAUUUAUCGCCUUUGGAUGGGCCCGCGUUGGAUUAGCUAGUUGGUAGGGUAAAAGCCUACCAAGGCGACGAUCCAUAGCUGGUCUGAGAGGAUGAUCAGCCACACUGGGACUGAGACACGGCCCAGACUCCUACGGGAGGCAGCAGUGGGGAAUAUUGGACAAUGGGCGAAAGCCUGAUCCAGCAAUGCCGCGUGAGUGAUGAAGGCCUUAGGGUUGUAAAGCUCUUUUACCCGGGAUGAUAAUGACAGUACCGGGAGAAUAAGCUCCGGCUAACUCCGUG